AGAUAAUAUUCUGAGACAUAUCCUGUGAGCUGUCUUACAGAUACUGAAACCCCAGUUGGAAAAAUUAACUACAAGAUGACCAGACUGUACCCAGGACAUGAGCUGCCACAAUUCCAAGAACUGUUCUCAAAGAAAUGGGAACAGACAGACUCUGGAACUGAAGAUUAACUGUACCUAAAACAAUCAAGAUGAUGCUAGUCAGACUACCAAUGAGCAAUCUGAAGAUGACUAUCAGAGCUCACUAUGCUGUUUCUGUAUGUAGCCAACCCCCCUCCCUACUCUGUGUAUAAAAGUUCCUACCCCCUGCUUGUCAGCGGGGGGAAUCAGCCUUUGGAUAGAUGUCUGCCCUCCCCCCAGUUGCCAGCAUCUGAAAUAAAGCAAACUUUCCUUUCCACCAACUGGGCCUGUUUAUUGACUUUUGGGCAGCGAGCAGCCAGACCCAACCUUUCAAUAAUAAGUAUGUGUGUCUCCUUGGAUGAUUCAUUUCUCAAUGUUAGACAAGUGCCCACUCCUGGGCGCUGGAAGGGGUUCCCCUUCCUGCAACCUUUUCAUCAUGUUAUCCUAGUUCUUAAAUUCCUCAGCCACCUCUGAGUGAUAGAAUUUAUGGAAAUACUCAGACACAGACUUACAAACAUGGUUACCAAAGGGGAAGGGAGAGGAGAGACAAAUUAGAAGUUUGGGAUUAACAUGUACACACUACGGUAAAGAAUCUGCCUGCACUUUUCCGCUGUCUUCGCUUCUCGCCCCUUGACGUUCCAGCCGCGCGCCCCGCGUCUCGUCGCUAUGCCCCGCAAAAUUGAGGAAAUCAAGGACUUCUUGCUCACGGCCCGACGCAAGGACACCAAGUCUGCCAAGAUCAAGAAAAACAAGGAUAAUGGGAAGUUUAAAGUUCGAUGCAGCAGAUACCUUUACACCUUGGUCAUCACAGACAAAGAGAAGGCAGAGAAGCUGAAGCAGUCCCUGCCCCCAGGUUUGGCUGUGAAGUAACUGAAAUGAACCACGUACGCUGCUUUGAACUGUAUUAAAAUUUUUUAAAUUCUCAAAAAAAAA